rnacentral:rRNA from 1 species
AUUGAACGCUGGCGGAAUGCUUUACACAUGCAAGUCGAACGGUAGAGGGGGCAACCCCUCGAGAGUGGCGAACGGGUGAGUAAUAUAUCGGAACGUGCCCAGUCGUGGGGGAUAACGUAGCGAAAGUUACGCUAAUACCGCAUACGAUCUAAGGAUGAAAGCGGGGGAUCGCAAGACCUCGCGCGAUUGGAGCGGCCGAUAUCAGAUUAGGUAGUUGGUGGGGUAAAGGCUCACCAAGACAACGAUCUGUAGCUGGUCUGAGAGGACGACCAGCCACGCUGGAACUGAGACAAGGUCCAGACUCCUACGGGAGGCAGCAGUGGGGAAUUUUGGACAAUGGACGCAAGUCUGAUCCAGCCAUUCCGCGUGCAGGAUGAAGGCCCUCGGGUUGUAAACUGCUUUUGUACGGAACGAAAAGGUCUCUCUUAAUACGGGGGACUCAUGACGGUACCGUAAGAAUAAGCACCGGCUAACUACGUGCCAGCCGCCGCGGUAA